rnacentral:rRNA from 1 species
UACGGGGGGGGCAAGCGUUGUUCGGAAUUACUGGGCGUAAAGGGCUCGUAGGUGGCCAACUAAGUCAGACGUGAAAUCCCUCAGCUUAACUGGGGAACUGCGUCUGAUACUGGAUGGCUUGAGUUUGGGAGAGGGAUGCGGAAUUCCAGGUGUAGCGGUGAAAUGCGUAGAUAUCUGGAGGAACACCGGUGGCGAAGGCGGCAUCCUGGACCGGUACUGACGCUGAGGCGCGAAAGCGUGGGUAGCAAACGGG